rnacentral:rRNA from 1 species
CGAAUGCUGACAUAAGUAACGAUAAAGCGGGUGAAAAGCCCGCUCGCCGGAAGACCAAGGGUUCCUGUCCAACGUUAAUCGGGGCAGGGUGAGUCGACCCCUAAGGCGAGGCCGAAAGGCGUAGUCGAUGGGAAACAGGUUAAUAUUCCUGUACUUGGUGUUACUGCGAAGGGGGGACGGAGAAGGCUAUGUUGGCCGGGCGACGGUUGUCCCGGUUUAAGCGUGUAGGCUGGUUUUCCAGGCAAAUCCGGAAAAUCAAGGCUGAGGCGUGAUGACGAGGCACUACGGUGCUGAAGCAACAAAUGCCCUGCUUCCAGGAAAAGCCUCUAAGCAUCAGGUAACAUCAAAUCGUACCCCAAACCGACACAGGUGGUCAGGUAGAGAAUACCAAGGCGCUUGAGAGAACUCGGGUGAAGGAACUAGGCAAAAUGGUGCCGUAACUUCGGGAGAAGGCACGCUGAUAUGUAGGUGAAGUCCCUUGCGGAUGGAGCUGAAAUCAGUCGAAGAUACCAGCUGGCUGCAACUGUUUAUUAAAAACACAGCACUGUGCAAACACGAAAGUGGACGUAUACGGUGUGACGCCUGCCCGGUGCCGGAAGGUUAAUUGAUGGGGUUAGCGGUAACGCGAAGCUCUUGAUCGAAGCCCCGGUAAACGGCGGCCGUAACUAUAACGGUCCUAAGGUAGCGAAAUUCCUUGUCGGGUAAGUUCCGACCUGCACGAAUGGCGUAAUGAUGGCCAGGCUGUCUCCACCCGAGACUCAGUGAAAUUGAACUCGCUGUGAAGAUGCAGUGUACCCGCGGCAAGACGGAAAGACCCCGUGAACCUUUACUAUAGCUUGACACUGAACAUUGAGCCUUGAUGUGUAGGAUAGGUGGGAGGCUUUGAAGUGUGGACGCCAGUCUGCAUGGAGCCGACCUUGAAAUACCACCCUUUAAUGUUUGAUGUUCUAACGUUGGCCCCUGAUCGGGGUUGCGGACAGUGUCUGGUGGGUAGUUUGACUGGGGCGGUCUCCUCCUAAAGAGUAACGGAGGAGCACGAAGGUUGGCUAAUCCUGGUCGGACAUCAGGAGGUUAGUGCAAUGGCAUAAGCCAGCUUGACUGCGAGCGUGACGGCGCGAGCAGGUGCGAAAGCAGGUCAUAGUGAUCCGGUGGUUCUGAAUGGAAGGGCCAUCGCUCAACGGAUAAAAGGUACUCCGGGGAUAACAGGCUGAUACCGCCCAAGAGUUCAUAUCGACGGCGGUGUUUGGCACCUCGAUGUCGGCUCAUCACAUCCUGGGGCUGAAGUAGGUCCCAAGGGUAUGGCUGUUCGCCAUUUAAAGUGGUACGCGAGCUGGGUUUAGAACGUCGUGAGACAGUUCGGUCCCUAUCUGCCGUGGGCGCUGGAGAACUGAGGGGGGCUGCUCCUAGUACGAGAGGACCGGAGUGGACGCAUCACUGGUGUUCGGGUUGUCAUGCCAAUGGCACUGCCCGGUAGCUAAAUGCGGAAGAGAUAAGUGCUGAAAGCAUCUAAGCACGAAACUUGCCCCGAGAUGAGUUCUCCCUGACUCCUUGAGAGUCCUGAAGGAACGUUGAAGACGACGACGUUGAUAGGCCGGGUGUGUAAGCGCAGCGAUGCGUUGAGCUAACCGGUACUAAUGAACCGUGAGGCUUAACCUUACAAC